AGUGGGAGGAAGGGGAAAAAAACAAUUUUUUUUUUUUCCCCCUGCUGGACAGUGGGUCUCUUUGAGCCUGUUGUCAUGUUCUCUGGCCGCAAUUAUAAAUAAACUUUCCUUCUGCAGAAAGGAAGUAGCUGAGACUCAGGGUCUGAAGCUCGUGAAUGGCUAGCAGAUACCCUGGCCUUUGCUGGCCCAUGCCAAAGGGCAGAGGAGGUGGUGGUCUAGCCCUGCACUGAGAGAGUGUGCGUGCAGCAUGCUGCGUGUCUGAGGCAAAACAACUGGCCUGGGAACACCUUCUCUUCUGUCAACUAUAUCCACCUGGUCCAAGGCAGUUUCUUUCUAAAGCUCAUCUCCCCAAAGGCUUCAAAUGCUCAUGUUCACUUAUUUUAUAUUUUUUUAAUUCUUUCCCUACCACUCCUGUGGUCUCAUAUUUAAAAAGGAAAGCUACUCUUGGUGGGCUGAGAUCACAGGUGCCAUCAUGGAGGCCCAUGGUGAGCAUCAGUAAAAAACAAGAGAGAAUUGAGUCCCCAGGCAAGAUUACAGUGCUGGUACACAACUGUGUGUAUCACUGUCCAAGCCUUUUGCAACAUCUGCCACAGCAAAGGUGUUGCAUGCAAAGUCCUUAAAAUAUUGGCCACAGUCAUUAUUGUUAUGUGCAUAUAGAUUUUAGCUUAUUUUAUGACUGUGCAUGUGUGUGUGCAAUAUAUGUGUGCAUGCACAUACACAUUUAUAUCUAUGUAUACAUUCACUAGUGAUGGGCCUGUUAAACUGAGAAGUGAUUUCUCUCCUACAGAUAGAUGUAUAACAUACACAUAGUGAUGAUACCUAAGGUGUUUGGGAGUGGGGAUGCAUAAUAUCUUAUAAACUUGAAGUUUUUAUCAGGCAGAGCAGAUUACUUUAAGCGUUCAAUUUCUCAGCGAUCCAAUUUUAUUAGGAUUUACUAUCAUUUGUGCUGUGCAUCCCUGGGGAAAUAAUGCUUUGAUUAAUGUAAUCCUGGGCUGGGAUCCGCCACAUGCCCCUCUCCCAAGAGAUGGGCCCUGUUUGACAAACAAAAACAGAGCAGCAACUAUUGCAAUCUGCACUCACCUUUUGAAAGCACACAGGCCAGUAAGCAGACACACACACAAAAUAUUACCCUCUCCUCCCCCCAACCCCAAAUACAAUAGCAGCAUCUCAAAACAAUGUGCACUUAUUUAUUUACACACAAUGCCUCUGAUUUAGUGUGGUCUGUACAGUCCAGCCCUCAAAUGCACAGUGGUAGCCCAAAAAGGAUGCUGCUCUGUCCCCCACUGAGAAGCUGAAACAUCUCUGGGAAGCUCAAUGUUUCUCUGUAUUUCAGGCUCUCCUUGGGCUCCCAACAUUUCUGCCUCUUUGUUUCCUACUCCAGGCCUUGCUGCAAACCGAUUUUAAGUCUACUCCUUCAAACCACUGGCAGCCCAUGGGCCCAAGAAGCUGACCUUGCAAGGCUCCCUGGCACCCACCUGGGGGGGACAUGUGCCUCUCUAAACGGGCCGUGAACCCGAAAUGCUUUGUUAUGCUCAAAACAAUAAAUAAGGUUCCGAAUGAAGCCUUCAGAAUAAAAGAUUGGUUAGUGUAAUAUCCCUAGUGCAGCUAUCAAGGUGGUCAUAAGAACUAUGAACUACAGCAUGGGCAAGCUUGAAAAACCCAGAGCAGCUCACAUUAGCCAAGAACGCUACAUAUCUGGAAGCCAGUCAACUUCACGUUUGCAGCUGACUGCCGUAUUAUGCACGAAUGUGUUUUACAUAUAGCAGACUGUAUACGGAAUAUGUCUUUAUGUUUAACAUUUUAAUUUGUAAAUGCUAAUUAGGCAGUUGGUCUCCACGGUUAUAUUAGUACAUACCUAAUCAUUUCCCACUAUAAGUAAAUGAAUACUAAAUACGGUAAACACUUUCAUUUCCCUACCUUCAAGACAGUAUUGCUUCUACAUCCAUUUUCCAAAGGCGUUCAUUCGGACAAAUAGGUAUUUAUUAAAAGAAGGAUGUGAAAAAAAUGCUCCCUGUAGCACUCUUACAAUUGGGGUGCCGCUGCAGGCAUGGAGCCAACAAUCUUGGCCGGACCGGACUCUUCCGAAGGCAGCCAGCAAAGUUUAAGUUUUGCCGAAUUAACUUGUUGCUCGUUUUAGCGUUAGUUUUUCUCUUCUUUUGCGGUACCUCGCAGGUUUCUGCUGCUGCUAACUAGCGCGGGUGUACAGCAGAACAGCCGCACUGCUAACUCCUGUUUUGUUUAAAAUAUAACGCAGGUUACGCUUGGAGGGUUGGGGGGAGGGGGGACAGAGGAAAGCUGGAGAGAAAUCCGCUCAAUCCCGACCCCGGGAUGCUGAGCUUUGCUGUGGUCUUUCAACUCCAAAACCCUUCAGAGGUGAAAAAAAUGUUCACUAAACUACGGCAAAUCUCAAUCAUGCUACCACGUUUCUGAAGAGAACUGCGCUCUGGAAUGUGUUUUACUAGUCUGGAAUAUUGCUAGUGCUUACUGUGCCAAACGCGGUAGGUGGAAAGUUUUGUUCAUGUAAAUAUCUCAACCCUUGUCCCUCAAGGUCUCUACACACGGAGACCUGACUCCGUUUUCCAAAUGAAGACCCGCGAACACUUCAAAUGAAAAGUUUAAUUUCUUA